UUAAAGUUUAUAGUAGACUGUUGUUUUACGGUGGUUUGUGUUCUGGGAACGGUUGCUGUUCAAUGGCGUAGUAUAUGGGUGAUAGCUGACUUGCUUCUUGCUCCCCAUAAUCCGAUCUAUUCAUCUUGGUUAUCCAUGGCCGCUGGAAACAUCUUCACCCUCCUAUUACUUGUAGCCCAAUGGCCACUCAUGCAGAUAGCUAAAACCUUAAAACGUAAAGAGACCAAAUUUUAUAUUUUACUUCUGAUAGAAGAUGUGAUGAGUUUAUGUGGAAAUGUUGCUGCGGUUCUAGUUUGGCGUGGGUUUUGGAAUCUACAGGAUCAGUUCUUGUUAAAAGACAUUCCAAAAAUGGUCUGGGCGUUACAUGUUGGAUCAGUUACAAUUCUCAUUCUCUUAUUGCAUUUCAAGACGGUGACAUUAGCAGGUGUGUGGACUGACGGGGACGUGAUCUUUAGUGGCGAGAAGAUAUUUUUCGAAACAAGGUUUAUAACCAGUUUCAUCAAACAUCGUGACCAACAGUCUGACAUGCCAGCUAAAACACUGGAUGAGAAAUGGAAUACGGACAAGCCAGGAGUCACGGCUAUAUCUUACAGCAGACGACGAGAGAAUACCUCAAAUAUAUCAGACGAUGCUAAGUUCUAAUAGGAAACUAAAUGUCAGUUGUGUUAAGCGCUAAACAAAUAUUUCCAUUUCAUGUUUUAAUGUAAUUGUAUAAGUCGUCGUGCAAUAUUAGCUUCACAAUAUACCAAAAAGGAAAAUAUGUAGGUUCAGUUCAAAGCACAUUAAAACGAUACCUAUCGAACAGCAUGUUGUCCCAUGUAAAAAAAAACAUUUAUUGGCAGUUGGGAUGAAAAGUAGGCGAAAACGCCGCAAUCCGAGCAAAAUACCCAUCAGUGUACAAUGCAUGGUGUAUUCCUGUCUUUGUUAUUUCGGUUGGUGCAGAAAAAUAGGAUGUAAAACCCCACUUCUUAUUAUAUGUUUUACGGGAGCCACGGUGGCUAACCAGAAGGUCGGGUGUUCGACCCCUGCGUUCAUCGGGAUUUACCGUCGUGGUUCCCUUUUGUCAGUGGUCUGGGAAGGAACGAUGUAUAGUCGUUCGGACGGUACGUUUAACCGAGGUCCCGUGUAGUACACAUUAGCAUGCACGUACAAUUUAGCAUGCACACACAAUUUCCCUCAUAGCACACUGUAUGGCGUUUACCCGUCUUCUUUAGCCCAGUCGGAGCAGAAAAAUAGGACGAAAAACCCCAUUCAAUUUCCAUUGUUUUAUAUAUUUAACACUAAAAUUGCUAUCAGCCCUUAUUUUUUGUAAAGCUGUAGUUUUAAAAAAAACAAUUAUUUUCCUGAUACAUCGAAGUCUUAGAAACCACAGUUGUUGUUACUUUUUUUUUUAAAUCCGUACAAUUUCUAGUUUUAUGUGUUCACUAAUCGUUUACGUAUCUUAAAAGACAAUGACUUUGAGGAAUCUAUUUUGCAUGGCUCAUGGUUGUGUUGAUUGGUAUAUUCGUGUCUCGACGCCGGUCACGAUAUCACUAUCUUAUACAUAAUAAAUUAUUAAUAAAUUAUCCAUUCCCGUUCUAACGAGCAGAUAUCUAUAGUGUCAAUGGUGGUAUAUGCCAGAUAACAUGGUCUACAAUCUGUAUGUUUUAUCCUUAUACCAUGGAUCCUUCAUAUUAAAUGGAUGCUUGUCGAUCACCCCCAAUGGACGCGUGGCGAUCAUUUGGAAUGCACGAUCAUCUCGGAUGAAAAUGGACUAUCAUCCACCAAGAAUAUACCACAUCUGGAAUGGAAGAGGGACGUACAAUGAACCUGCGUCUCGAAUGGGCGAUCUUCUGGAAUGUACGAUCGACCAACACCUAGAAUGUACGAUCGUCUGGAAUAUAUGUGCUUAACCCAUUAGUUCUAAUAGUUGACAUCUGUUGAUAACUGAUCUUAAAUCGUUCUUCUAAUCAUAUCCUGUGGCCACCACUUGGUGAUCUGUAUCCGUUGAGACCAUUGUCGUUGUCUCCUGUGUUAGUGUGGUAUCUCGAGAUCUAGUUAACUGAGCUUCAAAUGUAUUGUCGACUACUUCCACGGCAUAUGCAUCUGAAAGAUCAAAAUUGAAAUGUAUUUAAGGUAAAAUAGAAGAACCGGCUAUCAAAAUACGAAGUCAGUAAACAGAUUCAGCCCAUUCAAGCAAUAUCGCGUAAUGGAAAAACGUAGCAGGAGAUUAAGGAAGGAUAAUCCAAGACACGUUGAUUCACAAUUGUAAUAAAUAUUUCCCGCACUU